UUACCUUUCCCCCACUGGAGCCACUUUAUUGCUGCCAGCAGUAAAUGCAGUAGUUUAGGAAGUAGCCUGAGUUGAACUAUAACAUGUAAGGAACGGAAGUUAUACAAUAAGUCAUACUGCAGUUGACUUAGUACUGAUGGUCAGAGUACUGUAGUAGAAGUGGAGACAGUGAGAGUAUUCAGUUUUUGUGUCACCUUUCGCUUUUGUAUUCCACAGUACUGUUGUUAGUACUGGUUUAGUGUACCACGACUUCAGUCCAAAUAUUUUACAGGUAUUACAUGAAAGCAUUCAGUUAUUUUGUAUCCAAAUCAUUCUGUAAGUCUACCACUAAUUAUUACCUGAAAGAAAUGAUGUGGAAAACACACAGAGUACCAGUGAGUACAAAGUAUUAAAAAAAGACACGGGCAAACUGAAGUAAAAACAGUAUGUAGAUUUUAUUAUUAUUAUUAUUGAAAUCUGUACAGUUCUUCUUUACAUUUAACGGUGUUUAGCUGGUUGUUAAUUGACUAUAUUAAACGUAUAUUAAAGUUCCAUCAGUCAACAGGUUUACUACAUUACUGUCCAUUUGUACGGAGAUACAUGAGAGAGAAUACCAGUGAUUUAACACUCAACAUGUUAACUCCUGUCAUCAUUUAGGAUUCACAGUUUUAU